AGGAAUGUAGCGCAGCCAGGUAGCGCACUUGACUGGGGGUCAAGGGGUCGUGGGUUCGAAUCCCGCCAUUCCGA
rnacentral:tRNA from 1 species